UGCUCAUAUUGCAUAGUUUUUUUGUGAUUCUGGCUCAUUAUGUGAGUUACUUAUAAGUUAUGCCUACAUAGGAAGAGGACUUCAUUUGAUGAUGGGCAGCUAACAGCUGGCAUUCUCAGUUAUGAAAUAUUAUCAGGAGCAUAUUAUUCCAAAAAUUGCUAAAGAGAAAUGGAAUUGAUCUCAUGAAAAAUGGAGAUUUUGGAAGGAAGUGAAGGGGAAGGAAAUAGACUCAAGAUCACUUUCACGUCAAAAGCAGGCAUCUAAAUUAAAGAAAGGAAGGAGGGCCGGUUUCCUUCAGAUUGUAAAGGAAGGAAAGAAGAAAAUAAAAGGUCCAAGAAACUAUUAGCGUGGAAAGGGAGAGAUUUGCUAGCAUUCCAAACUAUCGCGUUCAGGACUCGUGUUCCCAAGGGUAAGAGGCAAUCUGCCGCAGAAAUAAUAUAUUGCUCAUUCACCCUGAAAACGCUGCCUUAAAGAUCAUAGGUGUAGAAGAUCAAGAGAGACGAGAUUACCUUUUAUUCUGGUUUCUUCCACCACCCGAAGCUGAUACCAAGGAACACGAUCACCUUAAGAAUUAGACCAGUGACAAAUAUCAAUCUUGAAAACAAAACAAAAUUGGAUCGACUCCCAAUUCAGAGAAUAAAAUGAAAAAUUGGGGGUCGAUCCGUCCACCAUCCCCCACCACACCCCCUUCUAUUAGAAAGUUUAUAACACUUAUCUACCCGUCCACCACCUCUCCCCAUACCCGCCACAUUUGGUCAGUUUUCAUAACUCUUGUUACAAGUCAUCUUCCUUAUGGUACAAACAACUUUUAAUACACUAGCACUACAGUAAAUUAUUACUGUACAAUAUUUUAAUAUCUAUUACAAUGGUAAUAUUACAAUCUUGUUCUUACAAUCAUAUAAUACAGUAAUAUUAC